UACGUAGGGGGCGAGCGUUGUCCGGAGUUACUGGGCGUAAAGGGCAUGCAGGCGGUCUGGCGCGUUUUUGUGUGACAGCGGGGGGCUCAACUCCCCGAGCAUACGAAAGACGGUUGGACUUGAGGGCUCGAGAGGGACACGGAAUUCCGGGUGGAGUGGUGAAAUGCGUAGAGAUCCGGAGGAACACCGAAGGCGAAGGCAGUGUCCUGGCGAGUGACUGACGCUGAGGUGCGAAAGCCAGGGGAGCGAACGGG
rnacentral:rRNA from 1 species